rnacentral:lncRNA from 1 species
UGGCUUCCAGAUCAGGGAUGUACUCAGCCAAGUCUAGCUAUUAUGUAGCUACAGCAGUUCAAAUAGAUGCACCCACAUAUUAUCAUCAGAUCUAUAAGGCGAUAUAGAAACGCAAGACCUCACCAAAACUCCAACUAUUCUUAUGGAAAGUAGUCCAGGGUGCUUUGGCUCUAGGAGGGAACCUAGCAAAGCGUGGUCUUAUGUCUAAUGUGACAUGCAGGUAUUGUGGAGAAGUCGAAACUGCAGAGCACAUCUUCCUCCAUUGCUACUACACUAGACAGAUAUGGAGUAACACAAUUUGGACCUCGAGCUUCAACCCAGCGAACUGUGUCUCCUUUAGUGAAGCUUUCUUGGCGUCAGGCUCAAUCAUUAUGUUACCACCGUGGGGACUGCCCGGAGAUAUCUUCCCAUGGAUCGUUUGGGGCAUUUGGACAGCAAGGAACCUCUAUAUUUUCGAAAACAGAAUCUCGACGCCUGUGGAGAUUCUUCCUAAGGCCAUACGCAGCACAAAAGAAUGGCACCAUGCCCAAGCGUCUACCUAGCCGCCUCGACCCUCACUGACCCACGUUCCAAUCCCACCCAUUCACUCCGCACGUGUACUCUGUUUUACUGAUGCAGCUUGGCACGCUACUUCAUCCAGAGUAGGCUGCGGCUGGAUCUUCAUCUCCCAACAGGACGAACAACUGCACCAGGGUACAACGACAUUUGAGAACAUAUCUUCUUCUCUAGUAGCUGAGGCGCUAGCUAUUAGAUCGGCUCUACUCAACGCCCUCGAAGCCGGUUUUACAAGAAUCUAGAUCAAAACAGAUUGUCAAGCACUUGUUGCUCUUAUCAACUCGAAGAACCACCCGAAGGAUCUCUACGGAAUCUCCCGGGACAUCGAGCAUCUAUCCCUUUCUUUUGAUUGUAUUGCUUUUUCUUUUGUUUCCAGUAACUUGAACUCUCUGGCUGAUUCACUGGCUAAAUCAGCAUUGUACUUGGUUACCACCAACUAUUCUUAGUUGGGCUGCAAUUUUAAUAUAUGAUAUGUUUGUGUUAAAAAAAAAAAAGAUCGCCCGUCUCGAAUACUCUUCGGUUCAUUUUGGCAAAAGCGAGUUCAGCGUUCUUUUCCAUCGAAGUCGAACUAGAGGAGGGGGGGGGGGAAGGUGACAUUCUUGGUGCAUGGGUUUAACAGCCAGAAGUUUUAAUGUGGUGGAAGGAUUGAUGAGUAAGAGAAAUAAGAGUAACAAUGGACAAAGGGAAACAUAAAUUGAAUGAGAUAUAAUGGGAGGUAUGGGAUGUUGGAUGUUAAUAAAAUAUUAAAUUACUUGUAUGUAAUGUUGAUCCCAGGCGUAACAACUCAGGAGUUGCAUACUUGCAUGUCCGGUGUUACAAUAACACGGUUGAAGGAAGAUCAUUUAAAGAGAAGAAAGAAAAACUCUUAACCCAAUAAAAAGAUUUAUGUUUUGAAAUAGCUACUGGACCAAGAUUUUAAAUUAGUUUGAAAUUAAAACAAUAUCUCAUUCGGGGAAAGGUGUGAGCAGUGAUGAAGUGGCACACUCAGAUUACUUGGCGGAUGAGGUAGCGUAAUUAGAGGAGAGAGUUUAACUUUAUUUAUAUAGAUUUUGCAUUACAAAGGCAUAGAUCUUUAAUAGGAAAAUGAUGAGUAAUUUAAACUGGUAAUGGUGCAACUGUUGUAUUCCCGUUUUCUUGUUUGAAACCAUGGCAUCUACACAAUUUCUUAUCACAUCGGCAAUCAACACAAGCCUGACACGCAAUGUUUGAUAGACAAUCUGAUUUCUGUUUACAUUUGAAUGAGAUUAUGAUUUCUUUUUUGGCCUCCACCACAGAGUUUGAAACUGCCAAAACAAAGAAAAUUUAAUUAAAUCAUCAUUCAUAUUGUAGCGGAUAAUAUGUAAAUUUUAGUUUGAGGUAAAGAAAGCUAAAUACAAGUCGCGGUGAAGACAAGAGUGGCCAAAAAUAAUGAAACAGUAAUGCGCAAAUUGUUCAUCUCUCUCUGAAUUUCGGAACUGCCUUCUAUUGUUUUGAAAUUUUUUGUUAGAACGAUGUCAAUGUGAAUGAUUUAAGUUUGGUUUCAGUGAUGGUACACCGUACACUGGGAUAACAGAGGUAUAAAUAGAAGCGUGAUGGGCAAGAAGGUUAUUACGUUACCUCAAAAUGGUUUAUUUGUGAUCAAGUUUCAUUGAAUUUGCAUAUAUAUUUUUUUUUGAACUUAAAUUUGCAUAUAUAUUAUAAGGUAAAAAUUGUAAAUGUCCUUUUAAACAUGGAUUUGUUGGAUAUGGUUGAAUUUUAAAGUUAUAUCUUUAUAUUAAAACAUAGUUAAUAUAUAAUAAAAACAUUUAAUAUUAGCAAAGUCCUGAAUCUAUAUAUAUAUAUAAAGUAGAGUUCACUCUCUUUUACAAAAAUAUGCUAAGUCAAAAAACAAAAUAUGGAACAAAUUAAUGAUAUUUUAAGCUUUAGAGCAGCUAUGAGAUUUAUUUUAUAAAAAUAUACUUUGUAAGAUUGAGGCCCUUAACAACUGUUGACAAAUCUUUAUUAACAUUAUAUCUUUUAACUAAUAGCAACGCAUUGAUGUGAAAACGUUAAGUGUGCUAUUACCAUUUAAUUUUAUUAACAAUAUUAUUGACAAUGUUUUAUAUUAGUGUUUAUGGAAUAUUUCCUAAAUGAACGUGAUCAUAUAAUUAUGUGAUUUAAAAAUAAUUUUUUUAUUUUUGCAACUACAAAAAAAAUUAAUUAUUUCUAAACAAAUUACUUUAUAAGCUUUCGUGGUUUACUUCCUUUUUAUAAUUUUUGACAUUAAAUUUUGGGCAAUUCUUCAAAUUAGACCUUUUUAAGUUCAUGUCCCAAAAACAGCCGCUCAAGCUGAAGGUCAGCUAAAUAGCUUUCAUUAAUCGGUAAAAAGAUUUAGAUACCCCCUUUUAUAAUUAACCAAUUACAAGGAUAAACUUUGUCAUUCUCCAUCAGACCCGACUUCGUUUCAUCCUCUCCGGCGAAGAACGUCUCCGGCGAAGAAUGUCUACGGCGAAAAACACGAAGCUGCUACCAUCUCCGGCAAAGAACAAGAACCUCUGAUUCUCCACCGACGCCAUCAUGGUGUGUUUCUAAAGUCUAAUAUCAUUGAUUUUAAAUACUUAGGGUUUUGCGAUUAAAAAUUUUGGGGUUUUUGGUUUUUAAAUAUAAUUCAGUUUGUUUUGUUGUAUUAAUCGAACAGGUAAAAGCAAAUCUUGGCUACAAAAGAAGAAAGACGAUCUCGUGAAGUUAUUCUUUGGUAAGAGGUUUUGAAUCUCGUUGUUCCUCUUUCUUCUCUGAUAAUUGCUUGUGAUUUAGAACUACAUGAGAAGUGAUUUGCGAUAUAUAUGGUUGUGGUUCUGUGAUAUAUUUCUUACAUUCAUGCAUUUUGUGGUUUUGUUGAUUCUCUGAUUCCUAAGAAAGAGUCUAAGGCCAGUUUGUAGCUGAAGAAAUUCGUGCCCGUCCCGGAGUUGGGUGUCUCUAGAGUCGGCAUAGGGCGGACCUGAGCCCGAAAUCGACGCUUCUUGUUGCUCGUCGUGUUGAGGGCUUGGUUCUCGUCUUGGGGGGUAAGAUUCUCCGAUUCGAGCUGGCUGAGAUUCUCGGCGCUCUGCUCCAGUUGCUUUGAGUGUUCGUUGAGCUUCUCCUUCAGGGUCUGGAACUCCAAGGAGAGCUCGGGAUUGGUCUCCUCCCGAGUUAUAUGCAAUCUGGUUACUUGACCUUGCAGAUCAUCGAUUUGCCUCUGGAGUUCAGCUUCUCUCUGGGUAGCUUCGGGUAGCUCAUCCUGCUCGUCCACCGCCAUUAUCACGUAGUUUAGAUUACUCCCCUCCUUCUAGCACCAAACUGUUAGAGGAUUUUUGUGUAGGAUCUUUGUGAGUACCACGGAACGAUGGACAAGGCUGGUUAUUGUAUAGAUUUCGUGAGUGUUAGAGAUAAAUAUACUUGAAGAGAUGUUUUAUUAGAUAGAACAAGUCGGAACUACAAUGAUUGUUGUAUAAACGCUAGUUCUAGCUACCUAGCUAUAAUCUCUAAGUCUUGAAGUGUCGACCUCUCGCUUUAGGGUUUAGGUUCCCUUUAUAUAGUCUUCUUAAGGCGGGCCUUAGUCGGUUGGAGUAGGUUAAAUUCUUCCAUAUUCGAAAAUAUGGAAGGUUCUCCUUAUCGGAAGUUUUCCUUUUCCCGGGGGAAGGGGGCGGUCCUGGGGACCGGACCCGGAGUACUUCGUAGCGGGGAAACGGGGUUCCUCCUAGCGGGGAUCCUGAGAACCGGGGUCCCUUCCAGCGGGGAUCCAGAGGCCGGUGUCCUACCUGGGGUCUGGAGGAAUUCAAUACCUGAGUAUUUUUCCCCAACAGGAACGUGUUAAAUCACACCUCGGGAUUGCACAAGAAGGAGGAGUAGGAAAAUAUUUGGGACUCCCGGAACACUUCGGGCGACGAAAAAGAGAUCUUUUCACAAGUAUAGUGGACCGGAUUAGGCUAAAGGGCGCUAGUUGGGCAUCGAAACAUCUCUCGAGUGCGGGUAAACUAGUCAUGCUAAAGGCGGUACUCACUGCAAUGCCAUCCUUUGCAAUGACUUGUUUCCUACUACCAGUGAGCUUGUGUAUUCGAAUUCAGCCUGCCCUUACGAGAUUUUGGUGGGAUUCUUCUCCGGAAAAAAAUGUGUUGGGUAGCUUGGGAUAAACUUAUAGCCCCGAAAGCUUUGGGAGGUUUAGGAAUCAGAGACAUCCAAGCCUACAACAAGGCUCUUCUAACGAAGCAGGCCUGGAGGAUAAUACCAAAGCCGGAGUGCUUAUUUUCAAGAGUACUACGAGGCAAAUAUUGUAGUAAAGCCCCCUUCCUACAAGUGGAUACACCGAAAGCUGCUUCACAUGGAUGGAGAGGGAUUCUGGUGGGGAGAGACCUGCUAUUAACCAACCUGAGUAAAGCCAUUGGAGAUGGAGAAAGUACACGAGUGUGGAAAGACCCUUGGCUAAACAUGGACGAGCCGUUGAGACCGGUUGGUCCAAUGCAAGAGGUCCACCAAGAUCUUUGCGUCGCUGACCUCCUUUGCAGAGAAACUCUGGAAUUGAACAUACCAAAGAAACUGAGCAUCCUUCCCCAACACUUACCGGAAAUUUUGCGUAUCAAGCCGAGUGUUACAGGAGCGACAGAUUCCUUCAUGUUGUUGGCUUCCAGAUCAGGGAUGUACUCAGCCAAGUCUAGCUAUUAUGUAGCUACAGCAGUUCAAAUAGAUGCACCCACAUAUUAUCAUCAGAUCUAUAAGGCGAUAUAGAAACGCAAGACCUCACCAAAACUCCAACUAUUCUUAUGGAAAGUAGUCCAGGGUGCUUUGGCUCUAGGAGGGAACCUAGCAAAGCGUGGUCUUAUGUCUAAUGUGACAUGCAGGUAUUGUGGAGAAGUCGAAACUGCAGAGCACAUCUUCCUCCAUUGCUACUACACUAGACAGAUAUGGAGUAACACAAUUUGGACCUCGAGCUUCAACCCAGCGAACUGUGUCUCCUUUAGUGAAGCUUUCUUGGCGUCAGGCUCAAUCAUUAUGUUACCACCGUGGGGACUGCCCGGAGAUAUCUUCCCAUGGAUCGUUUGGGGCAUUUGGACAGCAAGGAACCUCUAUAUUUUCGAAAACAGAAUCUCGACGCCUGUGGAGAUUCUU